GUUGGGUAGGGGAGCGUUCUGUAAGCCUGUGAAGGUGUGUCGUGAGGCAUGCUGGAGGUAUCAGAAGUGCGAAUGCUGACAUAAGUAACGAUAAAGCGGGUGAAAAGCCCGCUCGCCGGAAGACCAAGGGUUCCUGUCCAACGUUAAUCGGGGCAGGGUGAGUCGACCCCUAAGGCGAGGCCGAAAGGCGUAGUCGAUGGGAAACGGGUUAAUAUUCCCGUACUUGGUGUUACUGCGAAGGGGGGACGGAGAAGGCUAUGUUGGCCGGGCGACGGUUGUCCCGGUUUAAGCGUGUAGGUGUGUGUUCCAGGUAAAUCCGGUUCACUUUAACACUGAGGCGUGACGACGAGGCACUACGGUGCUGAAGCAACAAAUGCCCUGCUUCCAGGAAAAGCCUCUAAGCAUCAGGUAACAUCAAAUCGUACCCCAAACCGACACAGGUGGUCAGGUAGAGAAUACCAAGGCGCUUGAGAGAACUCGGGUGAAGGAACUAGGCAAAAUGGUGCCGUAACUUCGGGAGAAGGCACGCUGACACGUAGGUGAAGUGAUUUACUCAUGGAGCUGAAGUCAGUCGAAGAUACCAGCUGGCUGCAACUGUUUAUUAAAAACACAGCACUGUGCAAACACGAAAGUGGACGUAUACGGUGUGACGCCUGCCCGGUGCCGGAAGGUUAAUUGAUGGGGUCAGCGCAAGCGAAGCUCCUGAUCGAAGCCCCGGUAAACGGCGGCCGUAACUAUAACGGUCCUAAGGUAGCGAAAUUCCUUGUCGGGUAAGUUCCGACCUGCACGAAUGGCGUAAUGAUGGCCAGGCUGUCUCCACCCGAGACUCAGUGAAAUUGAACUCGCUGUGAA
rnacentral:rRNA from 1 species